rnacentral:rRNA from 1 species
CAGAGGUCUCAAGCGUUGUUCGGAUUCAUUGGGCGUAAAGGGUGCGUAGGUGGCUUGGUAAGUUGAAGGUGAAAUCUCGGAGCUCAACUCCGAAAACUGCCUUCAAUACUGCUGAGCUCGAGGACUGUAGAGGAGAAUGGAAUUCACGGUGUAGCAGUGAAAUGCGUAGAUAUCGUGAGGAAGACCAGUGGCGAAGGCGAUUCUCUGGGCAGUUCCUGACACUGAGGCACGAAGGCUAGGGGAGCAAACGGGAUUAGAUACCCCGGUAGUCCUAGCAGUAAACGGUGCACGUUUGGUGUGGGAGGAUUCGACCCCUUCCGUGCCGGAGCUAACGCGUUAGACGUGCCGCCUGGGAAGUACGGUCGCAAGAUUA